GGCUUUGUAGUGUAGAGGUUAUCACUCAAGAUUCUGAUUAUUCAAGUUCUUGAAACCCAGGUUCGAGUCCUGGCAAGGCCU
rnacentral:tRNA from 1 species